rnacentral:rRNA from 1 species
UACAGAGGUCUCAAGCGUUGUUCGGAUUCAUUGGGCGUAAAGGGUGCGUAGGCGGCGCGGUAAGUCGGGUGUGAAAUCUUGGAGCUUAACUCCGAAACUGCAUUCGAUACUGCCGUGCUUGAGGACUGGAGAGGAGACUGGAAUUUACGGUGUAGCGGUGAAAUGCGUAGAUAUCGUAAGGAAGACCAGUGGCGAAGGCGGGUCUCUGGACAGUUCCUGACGCUGAGGCACGAAGGCCAGUGGAGCAAACGGG